rnacentral:rRNA from 13 species
UUCCUUGUCGGGUAAGUUCCGACCCGCACGAAAGGUGUAACGAUCUGGAUACUGUCUCAGAGAGAGACUCGGUGAAAUAAAACUAUCUGUGAAGAUGCGGAUUACCUGCACACGGACAGAAAGACCCUAUGAAGCUUUACUGUAACCUGGAAUUGCUCUCAAGCUUAUCUUGCGCAGCUUAGGUGGGAGGCUAUGAACCUUUUCUUCUGGGAAGAGGGGAGCCAUCAGUGAGAUACCACUCUUGGUAAGCUAGAGCGCUCAGUCUUCACCGUCAUCCGGUAAGACGACAGUUUCAGGCGGGCAGUUUGACUGGGGCAGUCACCUCCCAAAAGGUAAUGGAGGUGUGCAAAGGUUCCCUCAGGCUGGACGGAAAUCAGCCAUAGAGUGUAAAAGCAAAAGGGAGCUUGACUGCGAGACUGACAUGUCAAGCAGAGACGAAAGUCGGCUUUAGUGAUCCGACGGUGCUGUGUGGAAAGGCCGUCGCUCAACGGAUAAAAGUUACUCUAGGGAUAACAGGCUAAUCUCCCCCAAGAGUUCACAUCGACGGGGAGGUUUGGCACCUCGAUGUCGGCUCGUCGCAUCCUGGAGCGGAAGUACGUUCCAAGGGUUGGGCUGUUCGCCCAUAGAAAGCGGCACGCGAGCUGGGUUCAGAACGUCGUGAGACAGUUUGGUCCAUAUCCUGUGUAGGCGUUUAGAGCAUUGAAAGGAUCUCCCCUUUGUACGAGAGGACCAGGUGGGGACAGACCGCUAGUGUACCAGUUAUCCCACCAGGGGUAAACGCUGGGUAGCUAUGUCUGGAGUAAAUAACUGCUGAAAGCAUAUAAGUAGGAAGUUCACCUUAAGAUGAGUGCUCUUUUGUCUCAACCGUUCAGUUUUACUGACAAAUGAAAGACAAGGAAGGUCACGGCAAGACGAGCCGUUUGAUAGGCAUGAAGUAGAAGUGCAGUAAUGCAUUCUGAAGCUGACAUGUGCUAAUAGACCGAGGGAUUUGAU